AGGAUGAACGCUGGCGGCGUGCCUAACACAUGCAAGUCGAACGUCCUGUCUCGCAAGAGGCAGGGAGUGGCGGACGGGUGAGUACCACGUGGGUCAUCUACCGUGAGGUGAGGAAUACCGGCGAGAAAUCGCCGACAAGACCGCAUAGGCUCGAUGCAAGUCGAGCAAAGCUCUUUCGAGAGAGGGAGCGCCACACGAGGAGCCUGCGCCCGAUUAGCUAGCUGGUGGAGUAACGGUUCACCAGGGCGACGAUCGGUAGCUGGUCUGAGAGGACGAUCAGCCACACUGGGAUUGAGAACGGCCCAGACUCCUACGGGGGGCAGCAGUGAGGAAUUUUCGUCAAUGGGGGCAACCCUGAACGAGCAACGCCGCGUGCAGGAAGAAGGUUUUCGGAUCGUAAACUGCUUUUCUCGGGGAAGAGAACGGACGGUACCCGAGGAAUCAGCCCCGGCUAACUACGACGCCAGCAGCCGCGGU
rnacentral:rRNA from 1 species